GACGAACGCUGGCGGCGUGCUUAACACAUGCAAGUCGAGCGGUAAGGCCCUUUCGGGGGUACGACGAGCGGCGAACGGGUGAGUAACACGUGGGUGACCUGCCCUCAGCUCUGGGAUAAGCCUGGGAAACGUGGGUCUAAUACCGGAUAUGACUCCAUGACGCAUGUUGUGGGGUGGAAAGCCUUGUGCGGCUGAGGAUGGGCCCGCGGCCUAUCAGCUUGUUGGUGGGGUGAUGGCCUACCAAGGCGACGACGGGUAGCCGGCCUGAGAGGGCGACCGGCCGACACUGGGACUGAGACACGGCCCAGACUCCUACGGGAGGCAGCAGUGGGGAAUCUUGCGCAAUGGGCGAAAGCCUGACGCAGCGACGCCGCGUGAGGGAUGAC
rnacentral:rRNA from 1 species